UACGGCUACAUCACGUUAACACACCGGUUUCUGUACAAUCACCGAAGUUAAGCAAUGUCGAGUCUGGUCAGUAUCUAGAUGGAUGACCGAUUGGAAAUACCAGGUGUUGUAU